UACGUAGGUGGCAAGCGUUGUCCGGAUUUACUGGGCGUAAAGAGCGCGCAGGCGGUCGUUCAAGUCGCGUGUGAAAGCCCCCGGCUCAACUGGGGAGGGUCACGCGAUACUGAUCGACUCGAAGGCAGGAGAGGGUAGUGGAAUUCCCGGUGUAGUGGUGAAAUGCGUAGAUAUCGGGAGGAACACCAGUGGCGAAGGCGACUACCUGGCCUGUUCUUGACGCUGAGGCGCGAAAGCUAGGGAGCA
rnacentral:rRNA from 1 species